rnacentral:rRNA from 1 species
UAUGGCCAUACCACCCUGAAUGUGUCUGAUCUCAUCUGAUCUUGUAAGCUAAGCAGCAUUGGGCCUGGUUAGUACUUGGAUGGGAGACUUUAGCUUUUCUAAUUAGACAUGAAGCACUAUUAUAU